CGCCAUUGCGGAUUCGCGGCCGCUGCAGAGUUUGAUCCUGGGUCAGGAUGAACGCUGGCGGUAUGCCUAAAAAAUCCAAGCCGAACCCACACCUUCCCGUGUCAGUGGCGAACGGGUCGAGUACAGUGUAGGACUCUCCGCCUGGGAGGGGGAUAACAGCUGGAAAAGCCUGCUAACAAUAACCAACGGGGGAAGGUGAACAGGCGUAAUCGGAACCGGGAUGAGGCUCCCGUGGGCAUUAGCUAGCUCGCCGGGGCAAUGCGAUAACAAGGGGACGAUACGUACACGCUGUGAGAGCCUCGGCAGGCACACUGGGAAUGAGACAAGGGGCACAGUCCUAGGGGAGGGAGGAGUGGCGAAUUUUGACCAAUGGGGGAACGGUCCCGGACGAAUGGACCGUGAGGGCAGGAAGCGUUAGGGUGGUAAACUCUUU
rnacentral:rRNA from 1 species